rnacentral:rRNA from 1 species
AUUGAACGCUGGCGGCAUGCCUUACACAUGCAAGUCGAACGGUAACGGGCCUUCGGGUGCCGACGAGUGGCGAACGGGUGAGUAAUGUAUCGGAACGUGCCUUUCAGUGGGGGGUAACGUAGCGAAAAUUACGCUAAUACCGCAUAUUCUGUGCGCAGGAAAGCAGGGGAUCGCAAGACCUUGCGCUGAUUGAGCGGCCGAUAUCAGAUUAGCUAGUUGGUGAGGUAAAGGCUCACCAAGGCGACGAUCUGUAGCGGGUCUGAGAGGAUGAUCCGCCACACUGGAACUGAGACACGGUCCAGACUCCUACGGGAGGCAGCAGUGGGGAAUUUUGGACAAUGGGGGCAACCCUGAUCCAGCCAUGCCGCGUGAGUGAAGAAGGCCUUCGGGUUGUAAAGCUCUUUCGGCCGGGAAGAAAUCGCAUGGGCUAAUACCCUGUGCGGACGACGGUACCGGCAUAAGAAGCACCGGCUAACUACGUGCCAGCCGCCGCAGUAAGAC